GGAGGCUGGUCACCGUCGGGAAGCAGGGGGCACGUCGCGCCACCACACGGUCCUUGCGGUAUCGGAUCUGCAGAUGGGAGCCAGGUCAGGGGAGUGGAACAGGGAACAGAUUGAACUUGACCCUCACGGUAGAGGCAGCCACUGCCGUGUGUCACACAGCAGAGGGAGCUGGGUCAACAAGAACAGAACUGGGGGAUAAUGGAUAACGUU
rnacentral:lncRNA from 1 species